AGCGAACGCUGGCGGCAUGCUUAACACAUGCAAGUCGCACGGGCAGGGGCAACUCUGUCAGUGGCGGACGGGUGAGUAACGCGUAGGUAUCUAUCCUUGGGUGGGGGACAACUGUGGGAAACUACAGCUAAUACCGCAUGAAGACCGAGGUCCAAAGCAGCAAUGCGCCCGGGGAGGAGCCUGCGUACGAUUAGCUAGUUGGUGGGGUAAAGGCCUACCAAGGCGACGAUCGUUAGCUGGUCUGAGAGGAUGAUCAGCCACAUUGGGACUGAGACAC
rnacentral:rRNA from 1 species